UACAUAGGGUGCAAGCGUUGUCCGGAAUUAUUGGGCGUAAAGAGCUCGUAGGUUGUUUGACACGUCGGAUGUGAAAAUCUGAGGCUUAACCUCAGACCUGCAUUCGAUACGGUCUUACUAGAGUGUGGUAGGGGAGACUGGAAUUCCUGGUGUAGCGGUGGAAUGCGCAGAUAUCAGGAGGAACACCAAUGGCGAAGGCAGGUCUCUGGGCCAUUACUGACACUGAGGAGCGAAAGCGCGGGGAGCGAACAGGAUUAGAUACCCUGGUAGUCCGCGCCGUAAACGGUGGGCACUAGUUGUGGGAACCUUCCACGGUUUCCGCGACGCAGCUAACGCAUUAAGUGCCCCGCCUGGGGAGUACGAUCGCAAGAUUAAAACUCAAAGGAAUUGACGGGGCCCCGCACAAGCAGCGGAGCAUGCGGCUUAAUUCGACGCAACGCGAAGAACCUUACCAAGGCUUGACAGUUAGAGAAAAGCUACAGAGAUGUAGUGUCCGCAAGGGCUCUAUUCAGGUGGUGCAUGGUUGUCGUCAGCUCGUGUCGUGAGAUGUUGGGUUAAGUCCCGCAACGAGCGCAACCCUCGUUCUGUGUUGCCAGCAUUUAGUUGGGGACUCACAGGAGACUGCCGGGGUCAACUCGGAGGAAGGUGGGGAUGACGUCAAAUCAUCAUGCCCCUUAUGUCUUGGGCUGCACGCAUGCUACAAUGGCCGGUACAAAGGGCUGCGAUACCGUAAGGUGGAGCGAAUCCCAAAAAGCCGGUCUCAGUUCGGAUUGAGGUCUGCAACUCGACCUCAUGAAGUUGGAGUUGCUAGUAAUCGUAGAUCAGCAACGCUACGGUGAAUACGUUCCCGGGGCU
rnacentral:rRNA from 1 species